UUUUUAUAUGAUUCUACCUAAGACUCAGGUGGCACAUCGCCUUAAUAUCCUGCCGAGGAGUAUUGAUACUAAUUCUCUCUCUGUGUCUUGGUGGACAUAGGGUUUUUUUUAUUUA
rnacentral:sRNA from 1 species